rnacentral:rRNA from 1 species
GCUCGGGGAGGUUGGCAACGACCACCCCAAGCCGGAAAGUUCGUCAAACUCGGUCAUUUAGAGGAAGUAAAAGUCGUAACAAGGUCUCCGUAGGUGAACCUGCGGAGGGAUCAUUACACAAUAAAAUACGAAGGCCGUUCGCGGCUGGACUAUUUAUUACCCUUGUCUUUUGCGCACUUGUUGUUUCCUGGGCGGGUUCGCUCGCCACCAGGACCACAAUAUAAACCUUUUUUAUGCAGUUGCAAUCAGCGUCAGUAUAACAAAUGUAAAUCAUUUACAACUUUCAACAACGGAUCUCUUGGUUCUGGCAUCGAUGAAGAACGCAGCGAAAUGCGAUACGUAGUGUGAAUUGCAGAAUUCAGUGAAUCAUCGAAUCUUUGAACGCACAUUGCGCCCUUUGGUAUUCCAAAGGGCAUGCCUGUUCGAGCGUCAUUUGUACCCUCAAGCUUUGCUUGGUGUUGGGCGUUUUUGUCUUUGGCCCGCCAAAGACUCGCCUUAAAAUGAUUGGCAGCCGGCCUACUGGUUUCGCAGCGCAGCACAUUUUUGCGCUUGCAAUCAGCAAAAGAGGACGGCAAUCCAUCAAGACUCCUUCUCACGUUUGACCUCGGAUCAGGUAGGGAUACCCGCUGAACUUAAGCAUAUCAAUAAGCGGAGGAAAAGAAACCAACAGGGAUUGCCCUAGUAACGGCGAGUGAAGCGGCAACAGCUCAAAUUUGAAAUCUGGCUCUUUCAGAGUCCGAGUUGUAAUUUGCAGAGGGCGCUUUGGCUUUGGCAGCGGUCCAAGUUCCUUGGAACAGGACGUCACAGAGGGUGAGAAUCCCGUACGUGGUCGCUAGCUAUUGCCGUGUAAAGCCCCUUCGACGAGUCGAGUUGUUUGGGAAUGCAGCUCUAAAUGGGAGGUAAAUUUCUUCUAAAGCUAAAUAUUGGCCAGAGACCGAUAGCGCACAAGUAGAGUGAUCCGAAAGAUGAAAAGCACUUUUGGAAAGAGAGUCAAACAGCACGUGAAAUUGUUGAAAGGGAAGCGCUUGCAGCCAGACUUGCUUGCAGUUGCUCAUCCGGGCUUUUGCCCGGUGCACUCUUCUGCAGGCAGGCCAGCAUCAGUUUGGGCGGUGGGAUAAAGGUCUCUGUCACGUACCUUCCUUCGGGUUGGCCUUAUAGGGGAGACGCCAUACCACCAGCCUGGACUGAGGUCCGCGCAUCUGCUAGGAUGCUGGCGUAAUGGCUGUAAGCGGCCCGUCUUGAAACACGGACCAAGGAGUCUAACAUCUAUGCGAGUGUUUGGGUGUCAAGCCCGAGCGCGUAAUGAAAGUGAACGGAGGUGGGAACCCGCAAGGGUGCACCAUCGACCGAUCCUGAAGUUUACGGAAGGAUUUGAGUAAGAGCAUGGCUGUUGGGACCCGAAAGAUGGUGAACUAUGCUUGAAUAGGGUGAAGCCAGAGGAAACUCUGGUGGAGGCUCGCAGCGGUUCUGACGUGCAAAUCGAUCGUCAAAUUUGGGCAUAGGGGCGAAAGACUAAUCGAACUAUCUAGUAGCUGGUUCCUGCCGAAGUUUCCCUCAGGAUAGCAGUAACGUAUUCAGUUUUAUGAGGUAAAGCGAAUGAUUAGAGGCAUGGGGGUUGAAACAACCUUCACCUAUUCUCAAACUUUAAAUAUGUAAGAAGCCCUUUGUUACUUAAUGAACGCGGGCA